GAUCCUGGCUCAGGAUGAACGCUAGCGGCAGGCUUAACACAUGCAAGUCAAGGGGCAGCAUAAUGGAUAGCAAUAUCUAUGGUGGCGACCGGCGCACGGGUGCGUAACGCGUAUGCAACCUACCUUUAACAGGGGGAUAACACUGAGAAAUUGGUACUAAUACCCCAUAAUAUCAUAGAAGGCAUCUUUUAUGGUUGAAAAUUCCGAUGGUUAGAGAUGGGCAUGGCGUUGUAUUAG
rnacentral:rRNA from 1 species